UUCUGUGGCUUAGCUGGUUGAAGCGCUGGUCUAGCGAGGAGUCGUGGGUUCGAAUCCUACCAGAA
rnacentral:tRNA from 1 species